AAAUUAUAUGUAAUUAAUAGUUGAUGAGUGCUCAAAGUACCGUUUAAUAUGAUUGCAGGAACUCGGCCCAGAAAUGUUCUUGACAUGAGCAUAGAAGUCCAUGGAGUCAUUUUUACCUGAAAGUACAGGAAGAUCGGCCUGGAGGUGCACCUGACUUGGACAUCAGUAAAGCAGUCUAUGUGUCACCUGCUGUAUGCUGAGUUGGCGUCGCAGCACACAGCAGGAGGAAUCGCUCCUUUUUCUCAUGAUCGCAGGAAUGAAUCUGGUAUUCAGAUUCGCCCCAAGUCACCAGCAGAAACAAGCCGACUACUUGAGGAAGACUUAAGCUUAUAAUGUUAGAAACAAUAAAGAAUUAAAAUACUA